rnacentral:tRNA from 2 species
GGAGAUGUACCCAAGAGGCUGAAGGGGAGGCACUCGAAAUGCUUUAGGCCGUGUGAGCGGCGCCAGGGUUCAAAUCCCUGCAUCUCCG